rnacentral:rRNA from 1 species
ACACGUGCAAGUCGAACGCUGAAGCUUGGGUGUUUUUCAUCUGGGUGGAUGAGUGGCGAACGGGUGAGUAAUACGUGAGUAACCUGCCCUUGACUCUGGGAUAAGCCUGGGAAGCUGGGUCUAAUACUGGAUACUACGUGCCCUCGCAUGGGGGUGUGUGGAAAGGGUUUUACUGGUUUUGGAUGGGCUCACGGCCUAUCAGCUUGUUGGUGGGGUAAUGGCCUACCAAGGCGACGACGGGUAGCCGGCCUGAGAGGGUGACCGGCCACACUGGGACUGAGACACGGCCCAGACUCCUACGGGAGGCAGCAGUGGGGAAUAUUGCACAAUGGGCGAAAGCCUGAUGCAGCGACGCCGCGUGAGGGAUGACGGCCUUCGGGUUGUAAACCUCUUUCAGCACGGAAGAAGCGAAAGUGACGGUACGUGCAGAAGAAGCGCCGGCUAACUACGUGCCAGCAGCCGCGGUAAUACGUAGGGCGCAAGCGUUGUCCGGAAUUAUUGGGCGUAAAGAGCUCGUAGGCGGUUUGUCGCGUCUGCUGUGAAAGCCCGGGGCUUAACCCCGUGGUGUGCAGUGGGUACGGGCAGACUAGAGUGCAGUAGGGGAGACUGGAAUUCCUGGUGUAGCGGUGAAAUGCGCAGAUAUCAGGAGGAACACCGAUGGCGAAGGCAGGUCUCUGGGCUGUUACUGACGCUGAGGAGCGAAAGCAUGGGGAGCGAACAGGAUUAGAUACCCUGGUAGUCCAUGCCGUAAACGUUGGGCACUAGGUGUGGGGGACAUUCCACGUUUUCCGCGCCGUAGCUAACGCAUUAAGUGCCCCGCCUGGGGAGUACGGCCGCAAGGCUAAAACUCAAAGGAAUUGACGGGGGCCCGCACAAGCGGCGGAGCAUGCGGAUUAAUUCGAUGCAACGCGAAGAACCUUACCAAGGCUUGACAUACACCAGACCGGCCCAGAGAUGGGUUUUCCUCUUUGAGGUUGGUGUACAG